GUUUGUAUAUUGAAAGAUCUCGAGCGCGCACCUUCUUCACCGGUUUAGAACUGUGCCCAUUCGAUGAAACUGUUAUUUGAGCGGCUUAUGUACCGUAACAAGGCUAUACCAAAUGAAGAAUAUAAUGAAUGUUAUUAUACAGGACACAGAUGCGGCGAGAACGGUUGCACAUUGUUGUUGUCAUGUAUAUCAGAAUGUGAUAAGCACGGAAUUGGUAUAAAACUUGGAUUAAGGGAAUAGAGUGUGUAGCUGCUGAUGUAUUGAUUGUGAAGGUUGAACAUUCAUACU
rnacentral:misc_RNA from 1 species